UUCAGGUUGCGAAGAAGACGAUGAGCGUUCCGAUGGAGAUCUCGGUGCAAAACCUCACCGAUCUGGCCAUCUGCGAGCAGAACGGCGCUGCUCCUCCACCUCCACCUCCACCUCCGUCUGCGACUACAGUCCCCGAAGACAAGAUUCUCGUCCCCGUUGAGGUCUGCCUAAAACCCUCGAGCACGGCUCGCGCAGAUGAGGUCGGAUCUGCUGUCGAGAGGAUGCUUGAAAAGCGCAGUUUGAGCUACAGCGAUGGCCCCGUUCCUGUGCCAAUUGACGACAUGUUUCUCGUGGAUAAUGUUCAGAGAAUUCGUAUUUGUGAGACAGAUGAUGGUGUCAAAGACCAUGGUGUUCUUUUGUUCUGGCAAGUCAAGCCUGUUGUACAUGUUUUCCAGCUUAGCGAGGAAGGACCAUGUGAAGAAUCAAGUACUGAUGGCCAACUCUCUAGUUUCCAUGAGUGGAUCCUCCCUGCAAAGGAAUUUGAUGGCAUGUGGGAAAGCUUAAUUUAUGAACCUGGUCUGAAGCAAAGGCUGUUGCGAUAUGCUCAAAGUGCACUACUUUUCACUGAAAAGGGCGUGGAUCCCUUUUUAGUGUCUUGGAACCGCAUCAUUCUUUUACAUGGACCUCCAGGGACAGGGAAGACAUCGUUAUGCAAAGCUCUAGCCCAGAAGUUGUCUAUACGUUUUAAUUCUAGAUAUCCACAGUGCCAACUAGUUGAAGUUAAUGCACACUCCUUGUUCAGUAAAUGGUUCUCUGAAAGUGGCAAGUUGGUUGCAAGGCUUUUUGAAAAAAUUCAAGAGAUGGUGGAGGAAGAAAACAAUCUGGUAUUUGUUUUGAUUGAUGAAGUGGAAAGUCUUGCAGCGGCCCGGAAAGCUGCUUUGUCUGGUUCUGAACCUUCAGAUUCGAUUCGGGUUGUGAAUGCACUGCUGACUCAGAUGGACAAAUUGAAGUCAUCACCAAAUGUAAUUAUUAUGACAACAUCAAACAUUACAGCUGCUAUUGAUGUUGCAUUUGUUGAUAGAGCUGACAUCAAAGCUUAUAUUGGUCCCCCAACUCUUCAAGCUCGAUACGAGAUCUUACGUUCUAGCAUGCAGGAACUUAUGAGAGCAGGAAUACUGUCUGAUACACAGGAGCUGGGUAAGGUUACACUUCCAAAUUAUGCAACUGCUCAAGAAAGGCAGGUUGCCCAGGAACCGGAGAUUGCAGAACUUUGCAAAAUAUUGCUUGAAGCUGCAGAGACAUGUGAGGUCAGAUAGUUCCAUUAUUCAUCACUAUGUUAGCUUUCCAAGUUUCCAGCUGGAGGAGAUCACACAACGUAUGCUUAUUCUUGUGAUCUAGCCAAAUUCUUGUGUACGAUGAUAGACACAGCAAAAAAGGAGUGGUCUGAGCUACCUGAUUGAAGUAGCCUUGGUGUAAACAAGAUGCCAUGCUUAAGUUUACAGGGUAAAGUGACACAGCUCUUGCAAUUCUUUAUACCAUCUGCUGUCUGUGUUAUGGAAAGGAUUCUUGUACUGGACAAACAUUAUGAACGAGAAGGUGCACCAUCCAGUAGAGCGAUCAGUUAAUCCAUGCUGAUCAGCAUUUUUUGAUCAAAAAGUCAAUUUAAACUUUUCCGAAAUCAGAGCAGUU